AUUAUAACUGGGAACUGUGGUUGGAAUGGAAGAUGAAUAUGAUCGGGAAACUGUUGACGGCGGCUGGGGGCCAGCGCCGGGGUAUCGAUGGAAAAUAAUAAACGACCAGCUGAGGCUGUUGUUGGUGGCGGUGGGUGGAGAGACCACCGGGAAAAAGAAGCAUGAGGCUGUGGAGCGCACGGAACGCGCGGUGAGAAAGUUGUUAGAAAAGAAAGGCGUUAGUUUGGCAGACAGGCUGUCACUGGCGCAGAUUUUGUGGGAGAAGGAGAGAGAUUGUAGAGAAGAAAAGAAGGAGCUUGAGUCGAAACGCGAGAAGGCGAGUGUGUUGAAAAAAGGAAAACUUCGUAAAGAGAUGGAGGAUGUGGAGGACAUGAGGUCCGCAUUGUUUUCGUACUGGAUAAAAAGUAAAGCCGUGGGGAGAAAUAACCAGGAACGGUGUAAUGAGGAAAGACCACCGGCAUACGAUGUUGAAAUAAACGGUGUGAAUUCGGCUUCUGCACCUGCUGGGUUGUAUCCUGUAUUAAAUAUAACGGGGGGAGAGUUGGAAGUUGAAGAAAGUGUACCACUGCGGGGUUGUCGGGGCAACGAGGUAACGGGGGAAAGCCGGCCUUUCGAAGCGCGUCAAAAUCGGGGGGGGUUUAAAGAAUGGACGGACUCACGCACUCCGGGGAGAAGGGACAGCUCAGAAGUGCAGCGGAGAAAUAAGGCGGAUAAGGGAAAGUAUUUAGCCGGGGCGAAUGAGCGGGUGAAAACACAAUUGAGAUACGGGGAAUCACCAGACAUGGGGGAGAGAGGAAAAAAAGGCUCUGCCUCGGCUCAGGAGGAGCAAAACGGGGAAUGCGGGGAUAACAGCGACCCAGAGAUUCACGGGGAACCGGGAAAAAUGUAUCCGUUAUUCAUGUCUUCUCGAGGUGUUAAUAAAUACAAGCCGUGGUCGCUGGGAGACGUGUCUGCUCUAGUCGCGCAAAUGCCUGCACCAUCUGAAGGGGGAGAUAAGUGGCUAAAACAACUCGAUACGCUUACUAACGGACACACGCUGGCGCUCGGCGACUUUAGGGCUGUAGCAGCCAGAUGCAUGACCGCACAUGAUUUAGCGGACGUGGAAAACAGAGCGGGGGUGACCCGACAAGCCGAUGACGACAGAUUUUUGUAUUUCGCGACGGAGAUCGGGGACGCAAUGCGCGAGAAAUGGCCACUUCUAAUGUCGACUAAAAUACCAAAAUUACCAUGGGACGCGAAGAAAACCCCGCGCGCGUAUUUGGACGAAUGUAAAGAGACCUGGGUAAAAAGCACUAGCCAUCAUCCGGGAACGGAGGGCAUACAGAGAGAAUGGUUCAGACAGGCGGUGCUGGAGGGAGUACCAGAGGGGGUAAAAGCUAAAAUGAUCACUAAUCCAGACUUGCCAGGAAGUGAAUCUGCUGUGUGGGAAAGACAUUUACUGCACCAUUUACAGGACGCGACUGAGGAAGCGACAGGGGAAGAGAAGCAGCUAAAAGAAUUACAGGCUCAGCUUCUUAGGCUUCAGCUCACUAAGGUCAAACAGGAAGUGAGCGACAAGAAGCAGAAAGGGAAAGACGAGCGACAGAUGACAGUCCAGGCUGCCCCAGCUGAAGGUAACGCCCCAGAUUUGUAUCCACUCCCACCAUGGGAGGAGACGUCGUAUGGGACAGCCCAGGGGUGGGGCCCAAACCGAGGGGGCGGUUAUCGGGGAGGUUACAGAAGUAAUUACAGGGGUGGCGCUGGUCGGAGAGGAUCAUACGGUGGGGGAGGAGAAAGAGGCGGCUACCAAGGGAGAGACGCUUGUUUCAACUGUGGUAUGGAGGGGCACUGGCGCAUGGAGUGUCCUAGCAAAAAGAAGAGACAGGGGAGGGGCAGGGGUGUCCCGUCUCCGGGGGCUUGGGCCCCCAAUCCACAUGCUGCGCCACCUAGGGGACAAUACCCUGCACUGGAGGACUGGGGCCAUGAGGCGGAUGCCUCUCAGUGACACACCCCGAUGGGAGACUCCGACAGCAGGGGCAGGGCAGACCCCAUGCUGUCACUCACGGUACUGCAACAACAACUUCCGUUUCUCGUUGACACUGGGGCCACAUACUCCACCAUACAAGCAGCGGGCUCGUCUGCUAUGUCCAAAGACAGUGUCAGCGUUAUGGGAUUCUCCGGGGUGUCACAGAAACUGCCUAUAACAGUCCCCCUACCGGUGAAAGUGGGAAAUCAGACAUUGACUCACUCUUUUGUUGUCUCACCUCAAGUUCCAGUGAAUCUUAUGGGAAGGGAUCUUCUCAUCAAAACAGGGGCUUCAAUCUUGUGCGGCCCGGACGGACUGAGUGUCACAUUGCUGGAUGGAACUGUGUUGCAUUGCAAUGACAAUGGACAGACUAAUGGCCAGUGGGUGAUGCAGCCACUGCAACAACAACAGUGCGCAGACAUCUACUGGGGCCUCCUAAAGCCUGAGUGUCCUGACAUCCCAGGGGUGAUGGCUCUUUACCAAAAGUGGAAGCCUUGGAUAACUCUUCUUGAUCCGUGUCCAGAGACCACGGAAGGGAGAAGACCGACCAUCCCCACACAGCUAUCCUUCUUGAGAAACUUCCAGACUACCUCUGGUCCGAAGGCCCGACUGACAUUUUGCAGUCCAGGUGCGAGACAGAACCGGAGGGCAGAACACCCCUGAUCCCCACACAACAGCCUGGGUCCUCC